rnacentral:lncRNA from 1 species
ACAGCAGGACUGAUACUGUUGCGUUCUCAGGAAAGAAGUGCAGGAGAUUCCGGAAAUUAUCCGGAAACUAUGGAGCAUCAAAUGUUUGGCGCGGAUAGCGGAGGUAAUGGAAAUAAUGAGAAAAGAAGAAAAGUAUCGAAUAUGUGUUUGAAACUGACAGUGAAAAGGGAACUCUUCGGGCAACAAGAAGGACCAUAAGGAUCCUAUGAGGGGAUGCUGGAGUCUGUCCCAGAGACCUAGGGACCUAAAGCAGGAAAACACCCAGUCCAUCACAGAGCAAUAAUAAGGGAUGUUUGGACCGUUACACAGCCAACAGAAGCAUGUGGACAGACAUUGACUGUGAUGAUGGACAUCUGCUGAUGCACAGGCAAGAAGUAUCACCCCUGCUGGACAUUGUUCUGGAACUCAGGGAGGGACACCAUGAUCCCCCACACCUUCUCACUCACACCAGACCAUUCACUCAUAUCGCGGAGAUCUGGCUGGACUUGAACCAGCAACCUCUGAAACCAUGAGGCAGCACUCUUACCACUGAGCCACAGAUCUCUUGUCUGAACAUGUGCAGGAACUUAUAUUUCACUAUUCUCUCUGUCAUUUUACAAUAAACCAGUUAAAUUUCAAACCCAUUGAGCGGGGGUUUGAACCCAUGGCACCACCACAGUUCUGAUUGUAUGUAACAUGUGUUUAGCCAUUAGUGCCACACUGGCUUUCACAUUGAAAGCUUGCGUUUGCACCACUUUGUUGGAUAUAAUGCAAUACAUGAGCUUUAAUGUAAGCAAUAGUGGGGCUUGAACUCAGGACUCCACGAUCCCAACACAACACGCUGCAUCCUGAGCCACUGGAACAAGUGAGUUACAGGUUGUUUUGGACGGGUUUUAUUGAGAGG